rnacentral:rRNA from 1 species
CCUACGGGUGGCAGCAGUGAGGAAUAUUGGUCAAUGGACGAGAGUCUGAACCAGCCAAGUAGCGUGAAGGAUGACUGCCCUAUGGGUUGUAAACUUCUUUUAUAUGGGAAUAAAAUGUUCCACGUGUGGGAUUUUGUAUGUACCAUAUGAAUAAGGAUCGGCUAACUCCGUGCCAGCAGCCGCGGUAAUACGGAGGCUCCGAGCGUUGUCCGGAUUUAUUGGGUUUAAAGGGAGCGUAGGUGGAUUGUUAAGUCAGUUGUGAAAGUUUGCGGCUCAACCGUAAAAUUGCAGUUGAAACUGGCAGUCUUGAGUACAGUAGAGGUGGGCGGAAUUCGUGGUGUAGCGGUGAAAUGCUUAGAUAUCACGAAGAACUCCGAUUGCGAAGGCAGUUCACUGGACUGCAACUGACACUGAGGCUCGAAAGUGUGGGUAUCAAACAGGAUUAGAUACCCGAGUAGUC